AUAUACGACCAUACCUAUUAGAAAACUCGGGAUCCCGUCCGCUCUCCCAUAGAUAAACUAAUAAGGGCCGGAUUAGUAGUUGGGUCGGUGACGACCAGCGAAUACCUGGUGUUGUAUGUU
rfam:Colletotrichum orchidophilum strain IMI 309357 Scaffold_197.1, whole genome shotgun sequence.